rnacentral:rRNA from 1 species
UACGAAGGGGGCUAGCGUUGCUCGGAAUCACUGGGCGUAAAGCGCACGUAGGCGGAUUGUUAAGUCAGGGGUGAAAUCCUGGAGCUCAACUCCAGAACUGCCUUUGAUACUGGCGAUCUUGAGUUCGGGAGAGGUGAGUGGAACUGCGAGUGUAGAGGUGAAAUUCGUAGAUAUUCGGAAGAACACCAGUGGCGAAGGCGGCUCACUGGUCCGGUACUGACGCUGAGGUGCGAAAGCGUGGGGAGCAAACAGG